UCUCACCUUUUUAAUGAUGACAAAAAGGGGGAGAAAGCAAUUUGAACCAACCAACCAACUUUCUUUGACUUUAAAUUUGUUUGAGUGUGUUUGUUUUUGAAUAUGAACUUGAGUGAACUUGGAUGUGAACUUGAAUCUGACUGAAUUGGCUGUGGAUUUAGAUGCUUGACUGUUUGCAUUUAUUUCAAGUAUUGUUAUAUGGUAUUACUCAU
rnacentral:lncRNA from 1 species